rnacentral:lncRNA from 1 species
GCUGCUUGCUCUUGAAGCCUUCAGUCUCUAUGCACGCAGCAUGCCUUCCCAGCCUCCUGUGGUUGUAGAGUGUAUAGAAGGCAGUUGGAUCACUAUGGACAGCGGGUAAGAGCUGAGGAAGCAGCCUCCGCCAGGUGGUAACAUGGAGGACCCUGAAGUCCUCUCUCUUUCAGCCACACCCUGAAUUGUACUCUGUUACCUUAGAAGUAGUGCAUUUGAUGGUUGUUUUGAAAAAAUAAAUGAAUGAAGGAGGACCAGUUCAUAUUACCCUUCAAAAAGGCAUAGACCAUUGGCCAUUCUCUGACCAUCUCAAGCCAGAGGUGACUUGAUCUGUCACCCAGCUGUGGCCCAUGAGCAUUAUCUAAGGAGGAACAUUUUUGCUUACGUUUCCAGUGCUCUACAUAAGCCCUAGGCCCUGGAAAUACUACUUUCAUGGCUCUGGCUAUGAACAUCAGCAUAUAGAGAAUGGAUCACUACCAAAGAAGGCACCCGAAUGUGUCUGUCUCAUCCUGGGGAAACUCAUUCAUCUGUAUAUGUACUCAGCAAGUGUUUCCUGGCACCUGCUCUGGGUCACAGUGCUGGGCACUGGAAGCUGAGAGAUGUGGAAGAAGGCUGGACAUUCAAGGUAUGCACCCACACCUGCCUAGGGGACUCGUACCUGCAAACAAACAAAAGAUCACAGUGCAAGCUGACAAAUACUCUGAUAGAGGUGUGGGAAGAAAUGCUCCAGGAGCUCAGUGGAUUGGUGAAGUUUGCUUCAUUCAUUUAAGCAAAUAAAAAUGGGUUCUGGAUACAUUCAGCAAAAGAUGAUUUGGAAGGCAAGAAAGAUCUUGAUCACCAAGCUUAUGUGCUUGAUCUUGUGCUAUCCAGAGGGCUUCUGGCUAAUUCAUUGAACUUAAAGAUGAGAGAUAUAAUUUUCUUUUACAAAAAGACAAGUUUUCCAAAUUUGCUGACCUUUCCAAUGAUGACAGGUAGCUGUUGCUAUUAGAUAUUUUUGAAAAAGUAAACAUCUGUAAUCUGCCCUUUCAAGGUAAAGGCGAUAUUUUUUUAACAAUGAGUGAGAAAGGAACUGUUUUUUGAAACAGGUUUGUGUGCACAAAAGGAAGAACAUUUUAAAAUGGAUGUUUGAAGUGUUUCCACCAUUACAUGAUCCUAUUGCCUAAAAUUUUGUCAGGGUGUCACUUAUAAAAAUUGUUAUAUCUGUGUUCUAUAAAAACUUGGAAACAAAAUUUCCUAAAGUGUUAAAAAAUCUCCUACAUAAAAAAACCUGGAGGACUUUGUACACAUUUGUUCAAAAUGUAGAAAUGCUGCAUCUUCCAAUUCAUUUGCAGAAAUGAACAAUUGAUACGUGGAAUACAGAGAUCUAGUAAGCAAAUGUUCACAUUGUCUGUAUAAUUGGUAGGUGGGAUUGAAAAUGGGUCUAACAUGUACAAAGUGCAGCCAG